AUAUGGAUUGCCAUUCAGAACCUGCGACCCAUGAAUAUCAUAAGGCACUGAUCAUUUACUCUAUUCAAGCAUGGUUUGCCAAAUACUUGUCUCAGUACCACUAAGAGGAAGAGAUUUUCAGGUAAAGUUAGUAAACACAAGUUCAAAGUCACUCCAACCCCUUCCUGUCCCACCCUGCCCCAGCAACACCCCAGUAAAGAAAGGAGAAAAAAAGAAGACAAAAAUGCAAGAUAAAGUAAUCAUCAUUCCAGAAAAGCCAAAUCCAUCCAUCUUUAUUAUUGAACAACACAGAAGGAAAAAUGCAGCAGCAGAAAAGCAGAGUUUUUCCAAUUGCAACAGUGUCUUUGCACCAUGAUAGGCAUUGCAAUCAGAAUACACAUCCUUCGAUGCAUAAAAAACACUAACAUUGAUUUUGAUUUAAAUGAAAGAUGACAAAAAAAAAAAGAGCGG
rnacentral:misc_RNA from 1 species